ACCUUAUUAAUGAUGAUGAGAAGUUCAUAUUCUAGUAAUCACAAUACCGAAACACAACAGAAGUCACAUGUUGGACUUUGUAGUAAUCCUCUCCUCCAUCUUCAAGCCUGGUUUUGAAUGCUUUAAGCAUUGAUCUUAUCUCCAUUUUCUGAAGGAAAGUGAUGAACCUUAGUCCAUCAGGAACCAUCUUCAUAGAUGUGCAAUUUGAAAUCACUAAACUGCACAGAUUCAACAUGGCCCCUUCUUCCACCCUCCAGUCUUCUAAGUUGGGCAAGUCAAAAAGGAACAGAGACUUCAGUUGUGGAAAACCUUUGUCAGAGCAAACCAUUGCAGAACCAAGAAAUGAAUCCAUUUGUAAACGGAGGAUUCUUAAGUUUGGCAGCUUUUCCAAUGUCACCAUUGGAUCUUCCAUAAGUUUAGAUCCCUGCAGGUUCAAUUUGGCGAGGUUUGAGGAAAAUUGAUGGCUCUCUGGUAGCUUCUCUAUC
rnacentral:misc_RNA from 1 species